UAGUCAAUAUUUUGGUUCGCAUAUUCGGAGCGCUUGCUUGAGAAUUUCACGAGACAAAAUCAGUCAUUUUCGAAACGCGGCUUGAACAACAUCAAAACCUAGCGUGCAUCUUUUGACGAAGUAGAGAUUUUGAUACGCAGAAAGUAUGACUACAUUACAAAUUUCGGCAUCGCGUAGGGUUUUCUUAUGCGAAGAGCAUACAGUGAUGUGUGGAAAACAAGUUGUGGCCUCUUAAAUCUUCGUAUCACGCUCAAUUUCUACAAACUACCUCUAGAGCCAGCAAUCGUUAGGAUAGAGUUGCCUAAGGUUAUCACCCAAAAUGACAAACUCGUUAUAUAAUCUUUUCACUUGGCCACGCGAUUAACAACGAACGCUGGUCUUGGCAGUUCCCGACAUGUCUCGCAGGAUGCUUUUUACGUUGGUCGUGUCUGCAAAAAGGUGACUACAAUGAAUUUACUCCGGAAGAAUUGGAACGAAUUUCGUGAUGUACUUUGAGAAAAUGAUACCGGAGUUCAAGCAGGAUCACAUCGUGCAC